CUCCUCCUCCUCCUUCUCCUUCUCCUUCUUCUCCUUCUCCUUCUCCUUCUCCUUCUCCUCCUUCUGCUUCUGCUUCUGCUCCUGCUCCUUCUCCUUCUCCUUCUCCUUCUGCUUCUGCUCCUUCUCCUUCUUCUUCUCCUUCUUCUUCUUCUUCUUCUUCUUCUUCUUCUUCUUCUUCUUCCUCUUCUCCUUCUUCUCC
rnacentral:lncRNA from 1 species